rnacentral:rRNA from 1 species
UGCGAUGCAUUAGCUAGUUGGUAAGGUAACGGGACGUUACCCAAGGCGAUGAUGCAUAGCCCGAGUUGAGAGACUGAUCGGCCACAUUGGGACUGAGACACGGCCCAAACUCCUACGGGAGGCAGCAGUAGGGAAUCUUCCACAAUGGACGAAAGUCUGAUGGAGCAACGCCGCGUGAGUGAAGAAGGUUUUCGGAUCGUAAAGCUCUGUUGUUGGUGAAGAAGGAUAGAGGUAGUAACUGGCCUUUAUUUGACGGUAAUCAACCAGAAAGUCACGGCUAACUACGUGCCAGCAGCCGCGGUAAU